GAUGAACGCUGGCGGCGUGCCUAAUACAUGCAAGUCGAGCGAACAGACGAGAGUGCUUGCACUCUCUGACGUUAGCGGCGGACGGGUGAGUAACACGUGGGUAACCUACCUAUAAGACUGGGAUAACUUCGGGUAACCGGAGCUAAUACCGGAUAAUAUUUAGCUUCGCAUGAAGCAAUAGUGAAAGACGGUUCUGCUGUCACUUAUAGAUGGACCCGCGGUGUAUUAGCUAGUUGGUGAGGUAACGGCUUACCAAGGCAACGAUACAUAGCCGACCUGCGAGGGUGAUCGGCCACACUAGGACUGAGACACGGCCCAGACUCCUACGGGAGGCAGCAGUAGGGAAUCUUCCGCAAUGGACGAAAGUCUGACGGAGCAAUGCCGCGUGAGUGAAGAAGGUUUUCGGAUCGUAAAACUCUGUUGUGAGGGAAGAACAAGUACGUUAGUAACUGAACGUACCUUGACGGUACCUUACCAGAAAGCCACGGCUAACUACGUG
rnacentral:rRNA from 1 species